UGCGACCUUAUGCCCCGGAUGAGGAAGGAAGAUACAUUUUCCGGUAAUAUUUCAUGGGCUCGCUCGAGAGGUGCUUCUGGAAGGACGUUCCGGACUAUGAUCGCCGAAUUCACCGCUGGAUACUACCUGUGAUGAUGACAUUGGGGAAAUGCCAAGUUGGCCUUUCAUAUUUGCUAAAGGUGGUGGUUUCCUGACAGGGAAGUCCUUCACACCUUGCAUUGACAACGUUCCUCUCAUGCAAGCAUCCAGUCCUAGAGAGGCGUUCAAGAUAUUAUUCCUGGCACACUUUGCGUCAACUUUGCCCACCCAAAAGAGACAAGUCUUAUGCUGGAGUUCACUCAUAGGUCAAUUGCCACUGUCAGUCCCGGAAAGGGCACAACGACUGACCAUACACGUGGGAAACAGCACAACCUGAACCCGAAAGUGCCGUCAUUGAGUAGCUCCCUGAAGGACUUGACGUUUAAACAUAUGUGCCGGCCAACUCGAACAAUAUCCCCGAGAGAUUCCUGAAUCUGGACCCCUUGUGAUACUGGGGGCAUAGUGAACGAAACGGGAAUUGUACAACUAACAGACAAGAAAGCCAAGGCAAGUACAGGGGAUGUUAUUUGUAGUCAUUACGAAGUAAGUGUGAAGAAAGCAAAGUGGAUGAAAAGAUAACAUCGCGCUGGCAGGGACCGAACCUGCGACCUUCAAAUAAUGCAUAGUGACCGCUUGUGAUAGCGUGGGCAUCUCUCGUAUUUCAAGAUGCACAUGUUGGCAACUGCCUGAACUUUUAUGUUCCAUGUCAAUAAACUUGU